GCUGCUCAGAGCGGGUGAGAGAAAGUCGAGUGGAGCAAACUAACAGAAUUAGUGGGCGUGUGAGAAGGAAUGAAGCGGAGUGGGCAGGGAGGCUUCAUAAAGACAGAGUGCAGGCCGCAGACCCCAAAUAACAAGGAUGUUAGAAGAGGAGGGUAAACUCGAGGGAGAUGAGAAACCAAAACCAAACAUCACGUCAAAAUCUGAAAGUCACUUGAUUCAUCAGGACCUGAAUAUCACCAGCCUUUGAAUAUACCAGCAUCUAUUGUGAUCCCCAGUUGCCUGUGGAGAAGAUGAUGUUUGACCUUCUUGAAUCGCUGCAGUCCAUGUGGUGAAGGUGCUCCCACAAUGCUGUUAGGGUAUCAGAAGGGGAGGAUUUACAGUCAGGAAAAUGAAACCAAACUUCACAUCAGGAUCUGACAGUCACUUGAUCCAUCAAGCUCGAUAAUGGAAGGAAAAAGCAGUGUUUACACUGAGGAGAAACUGGAAAUGUGGGGAUUGUGGGAAGAGAUUCAAUUCCCCAUCUCAACUGGAAACUCAUCAGCGAGUUCAUGCCGGGGAGAGACCGUUCACCUGCUCCGAGUGUGGAAAGGGAUUCACUCAGUCAUCCAACCUGCUGAAACACCAGCGAGUUCACACUGGGGAGAGACCGUGCACCUGCUCUGUAUGUGGGCAUGGAUUCACUCAAUUAUCCAACCUGCUGAGACACCAGCAAUUCAACACUGAUGAGAGGCAUUUUAAAUGUUCGGACUGCGGGAAGUGCUUUAAAAGUUCUGGGGAACUGUUGUGCCAACAACGUGU